rnacentral:rRNA from 1 species
CCCCGAGGAAAAGAAAUCAACCGAGAUUCCCCCAGUAGCGGCGAGCGAACGGGGAGGAGCCCAGAGCCUGAAUCAGUGUGUGUGUUAGUGGAAGCGUCUGGAAAGGCGUGCGAUACAGGGUGACAGCCCCGUACACAAAAAUGCACAUAUUGUGAGCUCGAUGAGUAGGGCGGGACACGUGGUAUCCUGUCUGAAUAUGGGGGGACCAUCCUCCAAGGCUAAAUACUCCUGACUGACCGAUAGUGAACCAGUACCGUGAGGGAAAGGCGAAAAGAACCCCGGCGAGGGGAGUGAAAAAGAACCUGAAACCGUGUACGUACAAGCAGUGGGAGCCUCUUAAUGGGGUGACUGCGUACCUUUUGUAUAAUGGGUCAGCGACUUAUAUUCUGUAGCAAGGUUAACCGAAUAGGGGAGCCGAAGGGAAACCGAGUCUUAACUGGGCGUUAAGUUGCAGGGUAUAGACCCGAAACCCGGUGAUCUAGCCAUGGGCAGGUUGAAGGUUGGGUAACACUAACUGGAGGACCGAACCGACUAAUGUUGAAAAAUUAGCGGAUGACUUGUGGCUGGGGGUGAAAGGCCAAUCAAACCGGGAGAUAGCUGGUUCUCCCCGAAAGCUAUUUAGGUAGCGCCUCGUGAAUUCAUCUCCGGGGGUAGAGCACUGUUUCGGCAAGGGGGUCAUCCCGACUUACCAACCCGAUGCAAACUGCGAAUACCGGAGAAUGUUAUCACGGGAGACACACGGCGGGUGCUAACGUCCGUCGUGAAGAGGGAAACAACCCAGACCGCCAGCUAAGGUCCCAAAGUCAUGGUUAAGUGGGAAACGAUGUGGGAAGGCCCAGACAGCCAGGAUGUUGGCUUAGAAGCAGCCAUCAUUUAAAGAAAGCGUAAUAGCUCACUGGUCGAGUCGGCCUGCGCGGAAGAUGUAACGGGGCUAAACCAUGCACCGAAGCUGCGGCAGCGACACUAUGUGUUGUUGGGUAGGGGAGCGUUCUGUAAGCCUGUGAAGGUGGCCUGUGAGGGUUGCUGGAGGUAUCAGAAGUGCGAAUGCUGACAUAAGUAACGAUAAAGCGGGUGAAAAGCCCGCUCGCCGGAAGACCAAGGGUUCCUGUCCAACGUUAAUCGGGGCAGGGUGAGUCGACCCCUAAGGCGAGGCCGAAAGGCGUAGUCGAUGGGAAACAGGUUAAUAUUCCUGUACUUGGUGUUACUGCGAAGGGGGGACGGAGAAGGCUAUGUUGGCCGGGCGACGGUUGUCCCGGUUUAAGCGUGUAGGCUGGUUUUCCAGGCAAAUCCGGAAAACCAAGGCUGAGGCGUGAUGACGAGGCACUACGGUGCUGAAGCGACAAAUGCCCUGCUUCCAGGAAAAGCCUCUAAGCAUCAGGUAACAUCAAAUCGUACCCCAAACCGACACAGGUGGUCAGGUAGAGAAUACCAAGGCGCUUGAGAGAACUCGGGUGAAGGAACUAGGCAAAAUGGUGCCGUAACUUCGGGAGAAGGCACGCUGAUAUGUAGGUGAAGCGACUUGCUCGUGGAGCUGAAAUCAGUCGAAGAUACCAGCUGGCUGCAACUGUUUAUUAAAAACACAGCACUGUGCAAACACGAAAGUGGACGUAUACGGUGUGACGCCUGCCCGGUGCCGGAAGGUUAAUUGAUGGGGUUAGCGGUAACGCGAAGCUCUUGAUCGAAGCCCCGGUAAACGGCGGCCGUAACUAUAACGGUCCUAAGGUAGCGAAAUUCCUUGUCGGGUAAGUUCCGACCUGCACGAAUGGCGUAAUGAUGGCCAGGCUGUCUCCACCCGAGACUCAGUGAAAUUGAACUCGCUGUGAAGAUGCAGUGUACCCGCGGCAAGACGGAAAGACCCCGUGAACCUUUACUAUAGCUUGACACUGAACAUUGAGCCUUGAUGUGUAGGAUAGGUGGGAGGCUUUGAAGUGUGGACGCCAGUCUGCAUGGAGCCGACCUUGAAAUACCACCCUUUAAUGUUUGAUGUUCUAACGUUGGCCCGUAAUCCGGGUUGCGGACAGUGUCUGGUGGGUAGUUUGACUGGGGCGGUCUCCUCCUAAAGAGUAACGGAGGAGCACGAAGGUUGGCUAAUCCUGGUCGGACAUCAGGAGGUUAGUGCAAUGGCAUAAGCCAGCUUGACUGCGAGCGUGACGGCGCGAGCAGGUGCGAAAGCAGGUCAUAGUGAUCCGGUGGUUCUGAAUGGAAGGGCCAUCGCUCAACGGAUAAAAGGUACUCCGGGGAUAACAGGCUGAUACCGCCCAAGAGUUCAUAUCGACGGCGGUGUUUGGCACCUCGAUGUCGGCUCAUCACAUCCUGGGGCUGAAGUAGGUCCCAAGGGUAUGGCUGUUCGCCAUUUAAAGUGGUACGCGAGCUGGGUUUAGAACGUCGUGAGACAGUUCGGUCCCUAUCUGCCGUGGGCGCUGGAGAACUGAGGGGGGCUGCUCCUAGUACGAGAGGACCGGAGUGGACGCAUCACUGGUGUUCGGGUUGUCAUGCCAAUGGCACUGCCCGGUAGCUAAAUGCGGAAGAGAUAAGUGCUGAAAGCAUCUAAGCACGAAACUUGCCCCGAGAUGAGUUCUCCCUGACUCCUUGA